AGGAAGGGGGAAGGAGGGAGAGAAUGGGGGGUGGAGAAAAGGAGAAUACCUAUACUUUUGAUCUGAACUUUCAUUGCAUCCUGCUGGAGAAGUCGAAAAGAAAAGAUGAUGGAGAGCCUCCAGAUUCAGAAGUGGCAGCCUUGUUAACCGGAGGAGGUUGUGAAGGAGGAAGUGGGGAAUGACAGCGAAGGGAUGAAGCACUUCUCUCAAGACAGAUGGGAUUUUCAGGUCAUAAGAAGGCUGUCUGGUAAGCCUUUAUUUUCAUCGUGAUGCUUCUGACACGGAAAAAAAAAAGAAAGAAAAGAAAAGAAAGAUUUCACAAGUGAGAGAAGCUAUCAAGAGCCCACUUCUUCUUGAAUUUUGCUUUGAAGAAGAAUAAUGUCAACGCAACCUCUUCUCAUCAAAGGGCAAAAACAUUGCUGACAAAGCAGGGACAAGUCACACAAUGCUACAAAAUGUGUUUGAGUCACCGGGCAACCCCACGCCAACAUUUUCCAGCCGCCCUUUAAGACUGCCUGAAACAUAAAGCAAGUUCAUAACGUGAAGCCUAGCAUUUAAAAUCUAAUUUGCCACUACCCAAUUACUCUCCGCAGAGGCUCAGCAACGUGGUGCGUAGGAUUCACAGUUUGCUCACAUUUUGCCCCGGCUGCUGAUUCAAUCUUCUUCUUUUGCUCCAGUAGUCACUCCGAUGUCUUGCUGGGAUGAAACGAAAUUCGCAUUUAGCUCUUCGGUCAUGAACCACCCCCCAUUGAAAAAUCGCAGUGCCGAAUGCAUAUUCAUGGCCCGUGCCAUACAUAUUGAAAGAUAUCUGGAGAAAGUAGCUUGGCGCAGAAAUCUGAAGUCUUGUGUUUUCCA